UUUUAAAUUGAGAGUUUGAUCCUGGCUCAGGACGAACGCUGGCGGCGUGCUUAACACAUGCAAGUCGAGCGAUGAAGCUUCCUUUGGGAAGUGGAUUAGCGGCGGACGGGUGAGUAACACGUGGGCAACCUGCCUCAAAGAGGGGAAUAGCCCUCCGAAAGGAGGAUUAAUACCGCAUAAAGUUAAGGUUUCGCAUGAAACUUUAACCAAAGGAGUAAUCU
rnacentral:rRNA from 1 species